GACGAACGCUGGCGGCGUGCCUAAUACAUGCAAGUUGAGCGCUGAAGGUUGGUACUUGUACCAACUGGAUGAGCAGCGAACGGGUGAGUAACGCGUGGGGAAUCUGCCUUUGAGCGGGGGACAAUAUUUGGAAACGAAUGCUAAUACCGCAUAAAAACUUUAAACACAAGUUUUAAGUUUGAAAGAUGCAAUUGCAUCACUCAAAGAUGAUCCCGCGUUGUAUUAGCUAGUUGGUGAGGUAAAGGCUCACCAAGGCGAUGAUACAUAGCUGACCUGAGAGGGUGAUCGGCCACAUUGGGACUGAGACACGGCCCAAACUCCUACGGGAGGCAGCAGUAGGGAAUCUUCGGCAAUAGACGAAAGUCUGACCGAGCAACGCCGCGUGAGUGAAGAAGGUUUUCGGAUCGUAAAACUCUGUUGGUAGAGAAGAACGUUGGUGAGAGUGGAAAGCUCAUCAAGUGACGGUAACUACCCAGAAAGGGACGGCUAACUACGUG
rnacentral:rRNA from 1 species